CGUGCCCGAUAUCUCGCAAACUUAGUGCGAAAAUGUCGUUCAUGAUAGUAUGCCUUCUUUUCAGUUUCGUUUUCGCAGACGUCAUUGGGAAUCAUCUGGUUUUGGGAGAAGACACAAUGAAGGAAAUUCCUGAAAAGGCAGGCGAGUUGGCGAAAUCGGGUUUUGAAAUGGCGUCUGGAAUGGCAAAAUCGGUAGCCGAAAUGAUGAAAAAUUAUACUCAAAAGUUUACAGGUUAAGUGCUAUGUGUAGCAGUGAUAAUUAAAGUGAGUUUACAUGA